UACGGAGGGAGCUAGCGUUGUUCGGAUUUACUGGGCGUAAAGCGCACGUAGGCGGAUUGUUAAGUCAGGGGUGAAAUCCUGGAGCUCAACUCCAGAACUGCCUUUGAUACUGGCAAUCUUGAGUCCGGAAGAGGUGAGUGGAACUCCUAGUGUAGAGGUGGAAUUCGUAGAUAUUAGGAAGAACACCAGUGGCGAAGGCGGCUCACUGGUCCGGUACUGACGCUGAGGUGCGAAAAGCGUGGGGGAGCAAACAGG
rnacentral:rRNA from 1 species